AGACAGGGUAUAUACUGUGACAUUCCCGGCUUAGAGUUUAUAUCCCCUGAGCCGAAGGCGAAGGGAUAUAAGCCCUAAGCCGGGAAUGUCACAGUAUAUACCCUUUCUGAGACCUGAAUUACACAUAUAUUACGGAUUACCCCUGACUUAAUGAUAUUUUCCUGUGCAGGUAUUUGUUGACAACACAUAUAUAUUGAAAAACCUAACCUGAUAUGUUCGGCAUACGUGAAGGAUUUUCUAAUUUGCUGUGAACAUAAUUUUAUCGUGUAUGUAAUAAUUUAUAAUAACACUUUUAACAUUAAAUUUAAGUAUUAAAGUGUAAAAUGCGUGAUUUUGUAUCAAAAAUGUAUUAUUGACUGAAGCACGUCAUUAUUUUCCCUCUGUGAGCCUUUGACAGUCUGAUAGCUUUUGACUACGUCACAUAGUAACCGGUGUUAUGAUGACGUUUUUGAGGUUCCAAUUGGGGAUAAAAACCCCGGCAGUUUCCUGAAUAUAUACUGACAUCUCUGUGUUGUUAUCCAAUCACAAACCUCGACACAUUUGUAAUCCGUAAUAUAUACUGACAUCUCUGUGUUGUUAUCCAAUCACAAACCUCGACACAUUUGUAAUCCGUAAUAUAUACUGAUGUUAUUUUCGCUAUUCAGGUCUAAGACAGGGUAUAUACUGUGACAUUCCCGGCUUAGAGUUUAUAUCCCCUGAGACCUGAAUUACACAACCCCUGACUUAAUGUGAAUGAUUAUAUAAUACACAUUUGUAAUUCGAUAUAUAUAUAUAUAUAUAUAUAUAUAUAUGUAAGACUCAGAUCGACGUCCGGUCUCUAAUCGACGUCCGUUUCUCAAAUCGACGUCCAAAUCUGACGUCACAAUAAAAUAUCGUUCCAAAUCGACGGCCAAUUUUAUGCCUAUUUAAUCGACGUCCAUUUUUUGGUUUCUCUAAUCGACUUCCAAUUUUUAACUUCUUUAAUCAACAUCCGUUUUGAACACAUAGUACAAAAUUAAUCAGAACCCACAGCAGCUGAAACCUUUAGAGACUUAAACAUAUGUGUGACAAAUAGAAUCUAUUUUAAAAAAAAUGCUGUUUUUUUUUAGAGGUUUAUUACAUACUAGACUAAAUAUGCAAACAGGUUGUGUUAUCAUUUUUUUUAAUUUUAGAGAUUAUAUAAAAAUAAAGAGAUGUGGUAUGACAUGAAUAAUAUAAACAAUUUGAAUAAGAAAAUUAACGGGCUUAUUUAUAAAAAAAAAUCUGAAAAACAAAUAUGACAGACACAAACCAUCGAAAACCACUGUAUUACAGGCUCAUAAAGAUUAUGUUAGGGUUAAGCAUGUGUGUGAGUACUUAACCUAUAACAGUUGUGUAAUAGCACAACAUAAAAACAUAAUGCCAAUUUCUUGCGUACAUGUUUUACUCCAGGUGUAAAACUAAAAAAAAGUUUGAAAAAUAUCUUACAUAGUCCGAAUUAUAAUACUAAAAAAACAACAAUUGGCUGUACUUCCUUAUUUGGUCUAUUGUUGAAAAUUGAAUAAUUCCCCUUUAUAUAUCGUUUGGUUUUCUUUGUCGUUAAGUUGCUUUCUCCUUCACAUACACUUACAUGCAUGUCAUUUAUUAACAUGAAUAGGAAUGACAAAUUACUAUGUAGAUCGAUUCAAUUAACUUUUUAUCAAGAUAAACUUGAACCCUACAAAACAUGUACAUGUAUAAGCGUAAACAAUUGAUAUAAAAAAGAAGAUGUGGUAUGAAUGCCAAUGAGAAAACUCUCCACAAGAGACCAAAAUGACGUAAAUUAACAACUAUAGGUCACCGUACGGCUUUCAAUAAUGAACAAAGCCCAUAACGCAUAGUCAGCUAUAAAAGGCCCCGAAAUGACAAUGUAAAACAAUUCAAAAGAGAAAACUAACAGCCUUAGUUAUGUCCAGUAAUUUAUUAUUUAUUGAUAUUGGACAUCAAUUUAAGACGACUACAAUCGACUAAAAUCAAUCGGGUGUAGUUUUGGCAAUACAUGCCGUCACAUUGGACGUAGAUUAGAGUAUCAAAGUAUUGGACGUCGAUUUGAGAAUGUGACGUCAGAUUUGGACGUCGAUUUGAGAAACGGACGUCGAUUUGAGGAAAGGACGUCGAUUAGAGGCCGGACGUCGAUCUGAGUCUAACAUAUAUAUAUAUAUAUAUAUAUAUAUUAUAUGUUAUUCAGGUCUCAGAUAGGGUAUAUACUGUGACAUUCCCGGCUUAAGAGUUUAUAUCCCCUGAGCCGAAGGCGAAGGGGAUAUAAGCCCUAAGCCGGGAAUGUAACAGUAUAUACCCUUUCUGAGACCUGAAUUACACAUAUAUUACGGAUUACCCCUGACUUAAUGUUAUUUUCCAGUGCAGGUAUUUGUUGACAACACAUAUAUAUUGAAAAAC
rnacentral:lncRNA from 1 species